rnacentral:rRNA from 1 species
UAAGGAAUAUUGGUCAAUGGACGCAAGUCUGAACCAGCCAUGCCGCGUGAAGGAUGAAGGUCCUCUGGAUUGUAAACUUCUUUUACCUGGGACGAAAACGGGAUUUUUAUCUCAAUUGACGGUACCAGAGGAAUAAGCACCGGCUAACUCCGUGCCAGCAGCCGCGGUAAUACGGAGGGUGCGAGCGUUAUCCGGAUUUACUGGGUUUAAAGGGUGCGUAGGUGGGCUUAUAAGUCAGUGGUGAAAUCUCCGAGCUUAACUUGGAAACUGCCGUUGAUACUAUAGGUCUUGAAUUAUCUGGAGGUAAGCGGAAUAUGUCAUGUAGCGGUGAAAUGCUUAGAUAUGACAUAGAACACCAAUUGCGAAGGCAGCUUACUACAUAUAAAUUGACGCUGAGGCACGAAAGCGUGGGGAUCAAACA